CCCGUCUUGUAUCAACUGAAU
rnacentral:miRNA from 2 species